GCCGCAAUAGCUCAGUCGGUAGAGCGCAUCCCUCGUAACGAUGAGGUCACGGGUUCGAUUCCCGUUUGCGGCU
rnacentral:tRNA from 1 species